GUAGUAAUGACUAUUUAUGACAUAUCCUACUUACACAAUGCCCAUUUUCUCUUCUAACAAGGUCAUACCAUAGCUAUCUAUAAAAAUUGCACAUUCUUGCCACAAAAAGCAGAUGCAGCUGGAAAGAGAAUUUCAAUUCCGUGUAACCAUUUGUAUAUGAGACGUACAUUUCCACAAAUGACUUCCAGCCUACCGCACAUGCUCUGCCUUUUAGCUCUGGGUGGGGUUUUAUAACCAUCAUAAACUUAAUUCUCUUAAUAGAAAAAAGCCUGCAGAAACAGAUGGAUGAUGAGAUUGAUGAUGGUGCUUUCCUGCAGCUGCCCUCUCUUCCUUCCCCAGUUUCUCUUGAGAAAUCUUCGGGAAAGACAGGGAUGGGCCAUGAGCCAGAGGCGCCGUCUUGGCAGACUGCACAAACCCUGCAGAUCACAAGCUGAAUCCCUCCAGACUGAAACAGAAAAGCUGCUUGCCAGAGGAGUGCAUUGUGCUGUUUCCAUGCAUGGAUGGAUGACCGGAGUUACCAGACUACGGAGAAGUAUAGACAAGGAAUAUAAC
rnacentral:lncRNA from 1 species